CUUGUCACCCAGAGGCAUUGCAGGGGUAGCUGCUUUGUCACAUGUGUAUUAGUAGGUGGCAGAGAAGAAAGAGUCUAUGUCUUCUUUCAGUGUUCUAAUCUAUGAACAUCUGAAUAAUUAAUGGCCUAUCUUU